rnacentral:rRNA from 1 species
AUAAUGGGUCAGCGACUUAUAUUCUGUAGCAAGGUUAACCGAAUAGGGGAGCCGAAGGGAAACCGAGUCUUAACUGGGCGUUAAGUUGCAGGGUAUAGACCCGAAACCCGGUGAUCUAGCCAUGGGCAGGUUGAAGGUUGGGUAACACUAACUGGAGGACCGAACCGACUAAUGUUGAAAAAUUAGCGGAUGACUUGUGGCUGGGGGUGAAAGGCCAAUCAAACCGGGAGAUAGCUGGUUCUCCCCGAAAGCUAUUUAGGUAGCGCCUCGUGAAUUCAUCUCCGGGGGUAGAGCACUGUUUCGGCAAGGGGGUCAUCCCGACUUACCAACCCGAUGCAAACUGCGAAUACCGGAGAAUGUUAUCACGGGAGACACACGGCGGGUGCUAACGUCCGUCGUGAAGAGGGAAACAACCCAGACCGCCAGCUAAGGUCCCAAAGUCAUGGUUAAGUGGGAAACGAUGUGGGAAGGCCCAGACAGCCAGGAUGUUGGCUUAGAAGCAGCCAUCAUUUAAAGAAAGCGUAAUAGCUCACUGGUCGAGUCGGCCUGCGCGGAAGAUGUAACGGGGCUAAACCAUGCACCGAAGCUGCGGCAGCGACGCUGAUGCGUUGUUGGGUAGGGGAGCGUUCUGUAAGCCUGCGAAGGUGUGCUGUGAGGCAUGCUGGAGGUAUCAGAAGUGCGAAUGCUGACAUAAGUAACGAUAAAGCGGGUGAAAAGCCCGCUCGCC